UGAACCGAAUAUAUUUCCGUUUAAGAGUUUAGAGUAGACACUUUGGGUGAUUUAAUACAUAUCAGUUUCCCGCGACUUCGUGUGGAUCGUAACUUCCUCGCUUCGAAGCUUUUGUAAAUCCUAACCCAUGGUGUUUCAAAACGCUUCUUGCUCACUGUAAUCGAGGUUAAAGAUUCUGUUCAGGAUUUUCAACCUUUUGUCUGAGAGCUCAUUUGAGUAGACAGGGCAUGGAAGAUUUCAAGAAGGAAGAGGCCGAUGUUGACUCGGGAAAGGAAUUUACAGUUGCUUCGAGCUCUUCAGUGUCCGAGAGUAGUGGCGACACCGCUCUUCCCAAGUUAGGGUCUGUCCAUGGGAGGACGACUGGUCCUACCAGACGUUCGACAAAGGGUGGUUGGACAGAGAAGGAGGAUGAAAUUUUAACCAAGGCAGUCAAAUAUUUCAAUGCAAAAAAUUGGAAGAAAAUAGCUGAAUAUUUUCCUGGUCGGACAGAUGUUCAAUGCCUACAUCGGUGGCAGAAGGUUCUUAAUCCGGAACUUGUUAAAGGACCUUGGACUAAGGAGGAAGACGAUCGUAUUGUUGAGUUAGUUGAGAAAUAUGGCUGUAAGAAGUGGUCUGUUAUUGCAAAGUCCUUACCAGGGCGCAUAGGGAAGCAAUGUCGAGAAAGGUGGCACAACCAUUUAAACCCAGAUAUAAAGAAAGAUGCAUGGACCAAGGAGGAGGAGUUGGCGCUCAUACGUGCCCACCAAAUAUAUGGAAACAAAUGGGCAGAAAUAGCGAGGUUUCUACCUGGAAGGGCAGACAACUCAAUAAAGAAUCACUGGAACUGUUCCGUGAAGAAGAAGUUGGAUUCAUAUUUAGCUUCUGGGUCUUCUGGGGAUCUGCAUGUAAUUGCCUUUCCCAAUUUUGACAAUCAUGAAACUAAAGCAGGAUCCAUAGGGGGUGAAAUGGUGGGACGAAGCCAAGGCACAUUGGAGUCUGUUGACCAGCAAAUAGACUUGGAGGGUGUCGUUAGCCCCCAUUUACAGAGCACAGUUCUUAGGAAUGCGAAAGGAGCUCAGAGGCAACUACAUCUACAACCAGUUCAAAAUGAUCUGGUAGAAAAGUAUAUAUCUUUGAAAGAAGGGUUACAUGGUCCAAGGAGUCCCUUAUCUCUGAUCGGCUCUGGGGAUAAGGAUGCCACUACAAGAAGCCCGAUCAGUGGAAUUUCUGGAGACGAUGCUGAAAUGCCAGAUGGUUCACAUCACAUCAGUUCUAUUCAACCUGAACUAUCAUGUGGCACUUCAUCAGGUUUUCCUCAGAAGUUGCAUUUAAAGAGAUUUGCACAUGAGCGAAAUGAUUCUACCAAUCUUGCAUCUUUUCAUCACCCAGGGCAUGCUAUCAUUUCAGUUUCUUCUUCGGAUGUUAACUUGGAUGUUACUGGAGCUGCCAGAAGAAAUAGUUUUCCUCCUGAGAUGCCUCUUUCUGUCACUGCUAAGAGAUCAAUUGAAUCUCCUAGACGGCCAUGGCGCUAUGGAGUUCCCAUGAAUGGAUUGAUUUCUACUGAUUUAAGUUUAAAUGGUGAAGCUAACAAUAAGUUCUCAAGUUUGCCAACAUGUGAAUUUGGUGGCCACAAUGCUGAAGUUGGUAAACAAAACAAUGUCCCCAGUGCACAGCUAUAUAUUGAGGAUGUAAAUUUUGGUCGCUUGUAUUAUGAGCCUCCCGUACUGAAGGAUUUGACUGUGGCCUUAGAAAAUGAUAGAGUUUCAGGUACUGACAAUUUUAUCAGAAUAGCAAACAGUCCAGUUUGUUGUUCUACUCCACCUAGCCAUAUACAAGGUAUCUCUAUUAAUUGUAGCAGCCCAGAGUCUAUGUUGAGGAAUGCUGCAAAGAAUUUUAGGAGUACCCCAUCUAUUAUUAGAAAGCGAGUGCGUGAUACUUCCAGACAAGAAGCCAAUGCAAAUGAUUCUGAUGGGAUAUGUUCACCAGAAGUAAGGACCAACAGUUCCACUGACACACUGGGAUCGAAGCAUUCACAUUUGUGUGAAAUUGAUGGCCAAGACAGUCUCAACAGCACAGAUAUACAAAAUGUAAAGCGGAUUUUCCUAUCUCACCAAAACCCUAUAAAAUCUGACGCAUCUGUUUCUUUAAAAUCUGUUGAAAAAUGCCUAGAAGAUGCAUUUGAUAUGGAAUGGGAUCAUGCCAAAGCUAAAUGCAACAACUCAGCUUCUGCAGGUGAUCCUUAUGAUGCCAAUUGCAAUACAAAUACAAAGUUUAUAUGUUCAGACAACUCAUUGGAACCUAGGCAAGUGGCAUCAGGUCUUUCAUGAAACAGCAUGCCUCUUGAUCGUGGUGACAAUUAAGCUUGGAGUUUUUUUGUAUUGCCUAAAAGGCUGAACAAGACAGCACACCAUAUGAUAGCAGGAUAUUGUUUUGCAUAUGUAAACAUUAGAGAUCUUCAUUGUAGCAGAAUGGUUCUACAAUUGAAGCUAUAAUCAUCUGAAGAUUUAGUGAAAGAACAGUCUGCCCAAGGACUGUUUCCAGACACAUACUCUAUGGAAUUACAUUCUAUGGGAUGGCGAAAAAAUUCCCACGAUCCACUGAUAGUGUUUCAGUGGGUUCUUUUUGGAAGGCAUCUAGGUGAUGUCAAGUUCUUUUGUUAAUCUCUCAAUUCUUUUUUGUGUCAUAAAAUUAUAGUUGUAAAUAGAGCUGGGG